ensembl:snoRNA
GUAUGAGUGAAUUCUGUGUUACUCUGCCAGUAGUAAAUAUAGUCAGACACCAUCCAAGAGAAUCCUUUCAUUCCUCCUUUCCUAAGGUGAGUGCUGUCCUGUACGUACUCAGCGGAGAAUUGAAUACAACG